AAUGAACGCUGGCGGCAGGCCUAAUACAUGCAAGUCGAGCGAGCGGAGGACGGGUGAGGAAUGUAGGGGGACUGCCCGAACGAGGGGGAUAACUACGGGAAACGGUAGCUAAUACCGGAUACUAUCGGAUAACCCAGAUGGGAUUAGCUAGUAGGGGGGGUAAAGGCUCACCUAGGCGACGAUCCCUAGCUGGUCUGAGAGGAUGACCAGCCACACGGGGACUGAGACACGGCCCAGACUCCUACGGAGGCAGCAGUGGGGAAUAUUGCACAAUGGGCGAAAGCCUGAUGCAGCCAUGCCGCGUGUAUGAAGAAGGCCCUAGGGUUGUAAAGUACUUUCAGUCGGGAGGCGUUACCGACAGAAGAAGCACCGGCUAACUCCGUGCCAGCAGCCGCGGUAAUUC
rnacentral:rRNA from 1 species